AUGAAACCUUCAAUUCGCAAUAUCCUGAGUGCUGCGUGGAUGGGAAGCUCAUUUCCCUGGAGAGGAGCGACGUGGAGAGGAACCUCACCAGCCACUGUGAGAAGCAGAGUGCCAACCACAAGCCUGCCUAUGACCAGGGUGGCCCGGUGGAAAUCUUGCCUUUUCUCUACCUUGGUAGUGCCUAUCAUGCUUCCAAGUGCGAGUUCCUCGCCAACCUGCACAUCACGGCCCUGCUCAAUGUCUCCAGGAAGAGCUCUGAGUCCUUUCAAGACCAGUACUGCUACAAGUGGAUCCCUGUGGAGGACAGCCACACGGCAGACAUCAGCUCGCACUUUCAGGAGGCCAUUGACUUCAUUGAUUAUGUCAGACGAGCAGGGGGCAAGAUCCUGGUGCACUGCGAAGCAGGGAUUUCACGCUCUCCCACCAUCUGCAUGGCGUACCUCAUGAAGACAAAGAAGCUGCGCCUGGAGGAGGCCUUUGACUACAUCAAGCAGCGCCGGAGCCUGAUCUCACCAAACUUUGGUUUCAUGGGACAGUUGCUACAAUAUGAGUCAGAGAUCCUGUCUUCCACCCCCAGCCCUCCCGUUGCCUCGUGCAAAACAGAAGCCGCCUCUUUCUUUGCAGAAGAACUGACGUUAGGCAAAAAUUUUGAAGGCUCGUGUUUCGCCUUCCCUACCUCAGUGCUGAGUUCUGUGCCCAUCCACUCCCCUGUCCAUCCGCUGAAGCUCAGCCCUAUGACGGCUUUUUCUUCCUGNNNNNNNNNNNNNNNNNNNNGCUGAACACCCCGGAGCCCUCAGAGCCCAACUGUGACCCUAAUGAGAAUAUUUCAUGAACGUGCAAUAGAGAACCUCACUGACUUAGUCUGAGGUGGUCCUUGUGGGUGAUACUUCCCAUACACUGACUGUGAGGCACAAGUGGCAGGUUUUCUGAACUUUUAAUGUUGUUUUGUGCGGUGUUUUUGGUUUUGUUUGUUUUUUUUUUUUAGAAGUACUUUUCUAGGUUUUUAUCCAGAGUGUGCAGCCACUACUGUAUUUCCAGAUUCCUGGGGAGCAAUGAGAAAUCCAUUUCAGGUAUUCUCAGUUCCCACUUUCUUCCCUUUUUUAUUUUUAAGAAGAACCUUAUUUAAAGUUUCAAGCAAUAAACAGCAGCAGUGGAGGGAAAAACA
rnacentral:lncRNA from 1 species